rnacentral:rRNA from 1 species
ACCGGCAGCUCAAGUGGUGGCCAUUUUUAUUGGGCCUAAAGCGUUCGUAGCCGGUUUGAUAAGUCUCUGGUGAAAUCCCGCAGCUUAACUGUGGGACUUGCUGGAGAUACUAUUAGACUUGAGGUCGGGAGAGGUUAGGGGUACUCCCAGGGUAGGGGUGAAAUCGAAUAAUCCUGGGAGGGCCAAACGAGGAGAGGGCGCCUCACCGGAACGAGCCUGACCGGUAGUAACGUAAUCCAUUGGUGCGCGCUA